rnacentral:rRNA from 1 species
UAAAAGUCAUAACAAGGUUUCUGUAGGUGAACCUGCAGAAGGAUCAUUAGUGAAAACCUGGGAAGCCAUUCUAUGGCACCCAAACCCUCACCAUUAUCCACAAACACCUGUGCAUUGUUGGUUGUCUGCUAGUCGAAAGGCUAUUCAGGCGCCGACGCCUUUAUACACAAAACUCUGAGUUCAUUGAAUGUGAAAUCGUUAUGUUCAUUUUGAACAGAAUUUAAACAUAACUUUCGACAACGGAUCUCUUGGUUCUCCCAUCGAUGAAGAACGCAGCGAAUCGCGAUAGGUAAUGUGAAUUGCAGAAUUCAGUGAAUCAUCGAAUCUUUGAACGCACCUUGCGCUUGGUGGCAUUCCGCCAAGCAUGCCUGUUUGAGUGUCAUGAACACCUCAAACCCCAAUGUUUUGAAAGAAGCAUUGCUUGGGUUUGGUUCUUGGGCUGUUACUUUGCUGCUUAACUGUCAGCUAGCCUUAAAGAUAUUAGCUGGACUCGAGCUUUCGAGUGUCUUCAACGCUUGAUGUGAUAAAUGUUACGUCGUGCUUGAAAGCCUUGGAUAGCGAUUUUUCAGAGUCUGCUUCUAAUACGGCGAGAAGUCCUAGCACUUCGACCCAUUAUUUUA